GGCGAAGUGAAUGGAGACUCAAGUUACACAGCACAAACAGUUAAAUGGAACUUUGAUUAGACGAAUAAAAGCUCAUCUAUGAAAAGUUUUGGAUACAUUCGGGCGACGGGCAAGCAGUACAACGAGCAAGAGCAACUACUACAGCAGCUGCAACUAUUGGAGGACUAGCCACUACUAGAGAAGUAGCAACCCCUGGAGGAAUGGUCACUACUAAAGGGAUGGCAACUACUGGAGCAGCGACAACUUUUGGAGAGUGGCAACUACUAGAAUAACAGCAACUCCUGGAGGUGUAACCAUUACUACAGAAGCGCUACCAGGAAAACGGCAAUCGCUAGAGCAGUGGCAACCAUUAAAGAAGAGACAACUACUGGGGCAAUGGCAACUACUGGAGUAGUGGCAACUGCUGGAAGGAGUGGCAGCUAUGCACGUCCCUUGGAUGCGGCCUCGUAGAAGAAGAAGAUAUUAAGAUCUUCUAUGGGGCCUUCCUAUUGGGGACUUGGAGAGCACGGGGGCGGCCUACCUAUGGGCGUACCCAGGGGGGGGCAAGGAGGGUGCAGCUGCCCCCCCUGGAAGUCGCUUUAAAAAAACUAAGUCAAACUAUCUGACCUAAAAAAAUUGACUUGCCCCCCCUAUGCCAGAAGCUGGGUACGCCCAUGGGCCUACCUAUUGGGGAGCUCAAGACAACUGCUGAAAAGACAAUGAUUUCGGUGAGGGAGCACCAGAAAAUUCGCAUUCUUGAGUGGCGACCACGAGCCGGAGGACGAAGUGUGGAUAGGCCUCCCACUAGGUGGACCGACGAUCUGGAGAAUGUUGCAG